rnacentral:rRNA from 1 species
UGGGGGAUAUUGCACAAUGGGCGAAAGCCUGAUGCAGCGACGCCGCGUGGGGGAUUAAGGCCUUCGGGUUGUAAACUUCUUUUGCUCUGAACAAGGCAUGCCUUUGGGGUGUGUUGAGUGUAGGGGUUGAUUAGCGCCGGCUAACUACGUGCCAGCAGCCGCGGUAAUACGUAGGGCGCGAGCGUUGUCCGGAAUUAUUGGGCGUAAAGGGCUUGUAGGUGGCUGGUUGCGUCUGUCGUGAAAGCUCAUGGCUUAACUGUGGGUUUGCGGUGGGUACGGGCUGGCUUGAGUGCAGUAGGGGAGGCUGGAAUUCCUGGUGUAGCGGUGGAAUGCGCAGAUAUCAGGAGGAAUACCGGUGGCGAAGGCGGGUCUCUGGGCUGUUACUGACGCUGAGGAGCGAAAGCGUGGGGAGCGAACAGG